rnacentral:tRNA from 1 species
AAAAUGGCAGAAUUUAUGUAAUAGAUUUAGGAUCUAUAGAAGAGAAAAUCUUU